rnacentral:lncRNA from 1 species
UCGUAUUACUGUCUAAUAAUAAAUUAUCGUGUAAACAUAAUAAAUCUUAUUAUAUAUGCAUGUCUGUCAAUUAUUAAAUUUUUAAAAUUGACAAUUACAUUUAAACGGUGACAUAGCCUCUUUAUUUUUAAACAGGGUAAUAAACCAGGUAUCCUUGUGGAAAAACAAAACUCAAAAGAGUGGAGUGAGGGGGGUCGUCCAAUUGGGAAAUGUAGUCUCAUAGGAUGCUUUUUGAGGGCUGCAAGUACCGGCCAGUACCCAAAAAGUCCAAGAGGAACAUCAGCAUGGUGAUGGGAGGCCUUUAUCAGGUGAACUGGUUACCCAGCUGGGACAAACUUGUGGACCCCAAAUUAUGGAGCGGGGCAACUUGACAUGGACUUGGAGGGGGGACAGAGAGAGAGAAUACCCAUGGAGGAGGGGUAUGGAGAUUUGACUCCAUAGAAUAGACAGACUUGUCAAAGCUUUGAGACUUCAAAUUUGUUCCGUUGCCAACCCCACAAUCAUCACAACAUCACCUCCACUCGAGCAUCCAAUCACCCACUCCCUCCUCUUUCCUUAUUUUAGUGGAUCCGAAAAUGUUAACCACAUCUAAGAAG